rnacentral:rRNA from 1 species
AACGAACGCUGGCGGCAGGCUUAACACAUGCAAGUCGAGCGAGACCUUCGGGUCUAGCGGCGGACGGGUGAGUAACGCGUGGGAACGUGCCCUUCUCUACGGAAUAGCCCCGGGAAACUGGGAGUAAUACCGUAUACGCCCUUUGGGGGAAAGAUUUAUCGGAGAAGGAUCGGCCCGCGUUGGAUUAGGUAGUUGGUGGGGUAAUGGCCCACCAAGCCGACGAUCCAUAGCUGGUUUGAGAGGAUGAUCAGCCACACUGGGACUGAGACACGGCCCAGACUUCCUACGGGAGGCAGCAGUGGGGAAUCUUAGACAAUGGGGGCAACCCCUGAUCUAGCCAUGCCGCGUGAGUGAUGAAGGCCUUAGGGUUGUAAAAGCU